rnacentral:snRNA from 1 species
AGGAAACUAAUGCUCUUUAGAUAUUUGUCUAGAAGGUUUCUCGUGAGAGAAGCCCCU